CCUACGGGUGGCAGCAGUAGGGAAUUUUCCACAAUGGGCGAAAGCCUGAUGGAGCAACGCCGCGUGCAGGAUGAAGGCCUUCGGGUUGUAAACUGCUUUUAUAAGUGACGAAUAUGACGGUAACUUAUGAAUAAGGACCGGCUAACUCCGUGCCAGCAGCCGCGGUCAUACGGAGGGUCCAAGCGUUAUCCGGAAUUACUGGGCGUAAAGAGUUGCGUAGGUGGCAUAGUAAGUAGAUAGUGAAAGCGUGUGGCUCAACCAUACUCACAUUAUCUAAACUGCUAAGCUAGAGAAUGAGAGAGGUACCUGGAAUUCCCUGUGUAGGAGUGAAAUCCGUAGAUAUAGGGAGGAACACCGAUGGCGUAGGCAGGGUACUGGCUCAUUUCUGACACUAAGGCACGAAAGCGUGGGGAGCAAACGGGAUUAGAUACCCUGGUAGUC
rnacentral:rRNA from 1 species